AGAACCCCGGGAGGGGAGUGAAAGAGAACCUGAAACCCUGCACUUACAAGCUGUAGGAGCACAUUUCUUGUGUGACUGCGUACUUUUUGUAGAACGGGCCAACGAGUUACGUUGUGUAGCAAGGUUAAGCACUUAAGGUGUGGAGCCGUAGCGAAAGCGAGUCUUAAAUGGGCGCCUAGUUACCCGACGUAGACCCGAAACCAGGCGACCUAUCCAUGAGCAGGUUGAAGCGAAAGUAAAAUUUCGUGGAGGACCGAACCCACGUACGUUGAAAAGUGCGGGGAUGACUUGUGGAUAGCGGUGAAAUUCCAAUCGAGCCUGGAGAUAGCUGGUUCUCCCCAAAAUAGCUUUAGGGCUAGCCUCAAGAUUAGAGAAGCGGAGGUAGAGCACUGAAUGUCCUAGGGGGUAUUGCACUUACCGAAGACUAUCAAACUCCGAAUGCCGUAUUCUUUUGCUUGGGAGUCAGACUAUGGGUGAUAAGAUUCAUAGUCAAGAGGGCAACAGCCCAGAUCGUCAGCUAAGGUCCCUAAAUGUAAGUUAAGUGGUAAAGGAUGUGGAAUUGCACAGACAACCAGGAUGUUGGCUUAGAAGCAGCCACUCAUUUAAAGAGUGCGUAAUAGCUCACUGGUCGAGUGAUUCUGCGCCGAAAAUUUCCGGGGCUAAAACUUACUACCGAAGCUACGGCAUCAUUAUGAUGGGUAGGGGAGCUUUCUAUACGGGUUGAAGCAUGACCGUAAGGACAUGUGGACUGUAUAGAAGUGAGAAUGUUGGCAUGAGUAGCGAGAUGUGGGUGAGAAUCCCACAGGCCGUAAACCCAAGGUUUCCAGGGGAAGGUUCGUCCGCCCUGGGUUAGUCAGGACCUAAGCCGAGGCCGAAAGGCGUAGGUGAUGGACAACAGGUUGAUAUUCCUGUACCACCAAUAACCGUUUGAGAAAUGGGAUGACACAGUAGGAUAAGCUAACCGCACUGUUGGUUAUGUGCGGGCAAGUAUUGAGGCAGUUCCGAUAGGCAAAUCCGUCGGAAUAAUGCUGGGGUACGAUGCGGAGCGAAAUUAAGUAGCGAAGUAGCUGAUUUCACACUGUCGAGAAAAGUCUCUAUCGAGGUUAAAGGUGCCUGUACCGCAAACCGACACAGGUGGGUGAGGAGAGUAUCCUAAGGCCAGCGAGAGAACUGUUGUUAAGGAACUCGGCAAAAUGACCCCGUAACUUAGGGAGAAGGGGUGCCUUCGAAAGAAGGCCGCAGAGAAUAGGCCCAAGCGACUGUUUACCAAAAACAUAGGUUUCUGCUAAGUCGCAAGACGAUGUAUAGGAGCUGACGCCUGCCCGGUGCUGGAAGGUUAAGGGGAUCUGUUAGAGCAAUCGAAGCAGUGAACUUAAGCCCCAGUAAACGGCGGCCGUAACUAUAACGGUCCUAAGGUAGCGAAAUUCCUUGUCGGGUAAGUUCCGACCCGCACGAAAGGCGUAACGAUUUGGGCACUGUCUCAACAACAGACUCGGUGAAAUUGUAAUACCGGUGAAGAUGCCGGUUACCUGCGACAGGACGGAAAGACCCCAUGGAGCUUUACUGUAGCUUGACAUUGAGUCUCGGUGCUACAUGUACAGGAUAGGUGGGAGACUAUGAAGCAUGGACGUCAGUCUGUGUGGAGUCAUCCUUGGGAUACCACCCUUGUAGUACUGGGAUUCUAACCAGAGGCCAUGAAUCUGGUCUUGGGACACUGUCAGGUGGACAGUUUGACUGGGGCGGUCGCCUCCCAAAAAGUAACGGAGGCGCUCAAAGGUUCUCUCAGUACGGUCGGAAAUCGUACGAAGAGUGUAAAGGCAAAAGAGAGCUUGAUUGCAAGACAUACAGGUCGAGCAAGGACGAAAGUCGGACUUAGUGAUCCGGUGGUUCCGCAUGGAAGGGCCAUCGCUCA
rnacentral:rRNA from 1 species